rnacentral:tRNA from 1 species
ACCGCCGUAGCUUAAUCGGUGAAAGCACUGAGGUACCAUAACAACUGAGAGCAGGGGUUGAGAGUUCAAAUCUCUCCGGCGGCG